rnacentral:tRNA from 2 species
AGCGGGAUGGCGCAAAGGUAGCGCGUAGCUUUCACGAGGCUGAGGUUGGUAGUUCGAAUCUAUCUCCCGCAAC